GACGAACGCUGGCGGCGUGCUUAACACAUGCAAGUCGAACGAAGUGGCGAACGGGUGAGUAACGCGUAAUCAACCUGGCCUUCAGAGGGGGACAACAGUUGGAAACGACUGCUAAUACCGCAUACUGAAGGAGGGGAUUGCGUUGGAUUAGCUAGUGGGAGGGGUAACGGCCCACCAAGGCGAUGGUCAGUGGCCGGUCGGAGAGGAUGAACGGCCACAUUGGGACGGGGAAACGGCCCAGACUCCUACGGGAGGCAGCAGGGGGGAAACUUCCGCAAUGGACGAAAGUCUGACGGAGCAACGCCGCGUGAGUGAUGACGGCCUUCGGGUUGUAAAGCUCUGUUAAUCGGGACGCGGUACCGGAAUAGAAAGCCACGGCUAACUACGUGCCAGCCGCCGCGGUAAUAC
rnacentral:rRNA from 1 species